CUUGAUCUUCUCUAGAUAUUCAUACUUCUCAGUUUCCAGGCUGUAUAACCAAUCCCACAAUUCCUUGGCUUUAUCUCUGUGCAUUAGUGAAGAAGCAGAAAGACAGCAACAAAAAGCUCAGAGCUGUUGGACCGAGUAUUGUGAACACAGCCUAAUUUGAGGAAUGGUGAACAUUCUGCCUCUGAAUUUAUGAGAUUUCCUGAACUCCUUGCUUUAGGAUCUCCUAAAUCCAGAAGGAUUUGGUCCUGAUGUGUAAUUGCAGCCACCAUUGUCAUCUCUAUGGAACUCAAUGAUUUGCAUUGCUACAUGAAACUGAAUGAGAGAUUGUUCUCAGUGAAACUGAGUGCAUUUGCACAGCCUCUGCCAUUUAAUGUAUUCUUCAGAGAGUGUACUUUUGUAGGUGUUUAUUUUUCUCAUCCACGAGGCAUUGAGCUUUUUCAUCUGAAAUGGCUUUUAAAAAUAUAAGAGAUGAAAACAGAAAUCACACCCAGUGGUCUUUCAUUUCUGUUAUUCACAAACACACAGGUUCCCUUCCCCUCAACCCCUUGCACUGAAGAAUAACUACUAUAUUCCUACUUAGCCAUAACACUGAAGGUUAGUAGAAUAUGUCACUACAGAGAAAAAGAUUUUUUAAAAACAGAGGUUUUUUCAUGAAUUGUUUUUUCUUAGUCUGUUUCACACAUUUGUCUCUAAGAUUUAAGAAAUCUAUACCAUCGGCCAAAACAAUUGCAUCAUAUGGCAUCUGUUGUUUCUUUAGAAUAAUUCCAUGAAUGUGUGAUUUUAAAAAAUGUUAGUUUUUUAUGCUGGAAUAAAAGGUUUUGUUUUUGUACUUCCAGACAAG